AAACAGAAAUCCGCUUAAAAUUAUUCAAGAAAAUCGUUGGAUAAAUGAUAAAUGAAAUAUUCUGUAUAUUUUAUGUAAGUAGUAAUUUAAAAUACGAUAAUAAUACUAUUACUGUACAUCGAAACAACUAUAACGUAUUUGCAAGACUCGAUAAUAGUGAAAAUCCGUAUUGAAUGCCAACAUCAUCUGGACCUUUCGAUUUUGAGAACGUUAUAAAUUUAUUGUCUAGAAAGUAACCCGAGAUACGAUAAAUUGGGUUAAAAAUGUGAUAUUG